CACGUAGGGUGCGAGCGUUGUCCGGAAUUAUUGGGCGUAAAGAGCUCGUAGGCGGUGUGUCGCGUCGGCCGUGAAAACCUGCAGCUUAACUGUGGGCGUGCGGUCGAUACGGGCAUCACUGGAGUUCGGCAGGGGAGACUGGAAUUCCUGGUGUAGCGGUGAAAUGCGCAGAUAUCAGGAGGAACACCGGUGGCGAAGGCGGGUCUCUGGGCCGAUGACUGACGCUGGAGGAGCGAAAGCCGUGGGGAGCAAACAGG
rnacentral:rRNA from 1 species